UGGUGUGUAGCUCAGUGGCAGAGCCAAUCUAGCAUGAAUGAGGCUCUGGGUUCCAUUCCCAGCACUGAAA
rnacentral:tRNA from 1 species